ensembl:lncRNA
GAUCCAUUUUGAGACGACAGAGCAGAAGACGCUAUAUGGAGAUUACUGACAAAUAAAAAUCUCCAACCACCUCAGAGAUCAGUCUCUCCAGUACCCAGUCAUCUGUCCAUGAAGAGUGACUUCUCUAUGGCUCAUCCUAUACACUUUAGUGAUGGAUCAGGGACCUUUGACCCCAGAAUCUCCAAGCAAACUCAGUCUCUCCAGAGAUCAGUCUCUCCAGUACCCAGUCAUCUGUCCAUGAAGAGCGACUUCUCUAUGGAUCAUCCUAUACAUUUUAGUAGUGGAUCACGGACCUUUGACCCCAGAAUCUCCAAGCAAACUCAGUCUCUCCAGAGACCAGUCUCUCCAGUACCCAGUCAUCUAUCCAUGAAGAGUGACUUCUCUAUGGAUCAUCCUAUACAUUUUAGUAAUGGAUCAGAGACCGUUGGAAGCAGAAUCUCCAAGCAAACUCAGUCUCUCCAGAGAUCAGUCUCUCCAGUACCCAGUCAUCUGUCCAUGAAGAGCGACUUCUCUAUGGAUCAUCCUAUACAUUUUAGUAGUGGAUCAGGGACCGUUGACCCCAGAGGCUACUACCACACUCAGACAGCACAGUGUACUGUUCCCAGCUGUCUGUCUAUGAACAGUGACUUCUCCAUGGAUCGUCCUGUUAAUUCCAGUGGUGGAAGAUCAAUCACCUUUGACCGAAGGUACGUCACCAGAUUUUUGUUGUUGUAAUUUCAGAAUGUUCAAGAUGUCAUAUAGCUAUGUUGUUGUAAUUUGUUGUAACUGAGUUUAUUAGAGUAAUUACUGCACCCUCCUAUAUCUCUAGUGGAUGGUCUACUCUGUUAGUGGAUCAGUAUCUCUCUCUCUCUCUCUCUCCUUUAUCUCUGUAUUGGAUGGUCUACUCUGUUAGUGGAUCAGUAUCUCUCUCUCUCCUUUAUCUCUGUAGUGGAUGGUCUACUCUGUUAGAGGAUCAGUCUCUCUCUCUCCUUUAUCUCUGUAGUGGAUGGUCUACUCUGUUAGAGGAUCAGUAUCUCUCUCUCUCCUUUAUCUCUGUAGUGGAUGGUCUACUCUGUUAGAGGAUCAGUAUCUCUCUCUCCUUUAUCUCUGUAGUGGAUGGUCUACUCUGUUAGAGGAUCAGUAUCUCUCUCUCUCCUUUAUUUCUGUAGUGGAUGGCCUACUCUGUUAGAGGAUCAGUAUCUCUCUCUCCUUUAUCUCUGUAGUGGAUGGUCUACUCUGUUAGAGGAUCAGUAUCUCUCUCUCCUUUAUCUCUGUAGUGGAUGGUCUACUCUGUUAGAGGAUCAGUAUCUCUCUCUCCUUUAUCUCUGUAGUGGAUGGUCUACUCUGUUAGAGGAUCAGUAUCUCUCUCUCCUUUAUCUCUGUAGUGGAUGGUCUACUCUGUUAGAGGAUCAGUAUCUCUCUCCUUUAUCUCUGUAGUGGAUGGUCUACUCUGUUAGAGGAUCAGUAUCUCUCUCUCCUUUAUCUCUGUAGUGGAUGG